GCGGCUGCCGGUUCUCGCUUGGUUCUCGUUUGUGUGCUUCAGCGUGUUUUGUGCGUUCAACGUGCUUCGGAGGCGAUGGAUGACUCACAAACAUACAGCGAAGCAAGGGAGAUGCUACCUCUAGCAGAGAAGACGUCCGAUCUGAAUGCAGAAGACGAAUAUGGAUGGGGCAAGCGAAAGCGGAUUAUCGUAUCGAACAGUGACGACUCCUCUCCACCAGCGUCUCCCCUAAUGUGCAAAGCAAAACAGUCGUUCCAUCAUUCAGCUUCGGAUUAUGCAUAUUCAGUGCCAUCGGUUUCAGUGCCAUCG